GGGGCGGUGGCGGAAUUGGCAGACGCAGGGGACUUAAAAUCCUCCGGUAGAGAUACCUUGUGGGUUCGACUCCCACCCGCCCUACCA
rnacentral:tRNA from 2 species